GUGUGUGUGUGUGUGUGUGUGUGUAUAUAUGUAUAUAUAUAUAUAUAUACACACACACACACACACACACACAUACAUACAUACA
rnacentral:miRNA from 1 species